GCUGGGUGCAGCGGCUCACGCCUGUAAUCCCAGCAGCUCUGGAGGCUGAGACAGGAGGAUCGUGAGUCCAAAGCCAGCCUCAGCAACAGCGAGGUGCUAAGCAACUCAGUGAGACCCUGGCUCUG
rnacentral:sRNA from 1 species